UGCCAGCCGCCGCGGUAAUACGGAGGGGGUUAGCGUUGUUCGGAAUUACUGGGCGUAAAGCGCGCGUAGGCGGAUUGGAAAGUUAGAGGUGAAAUCUUGCCGCUUAACGGUAAAAUUGCCAUUGAUACUGAAGUUCUUGAAUGUAGUUGAGGUAGGCGGAAUGUGUUGUGUAGCGGUGAAAUGCAUAGAUAUGACACAGAACGCCAAUUGCGAAGGCAGCUUACUAAGCUACGAUUGACGCUGAGGUGCGAAAGCGUGGGGAGCAAACAGGAUUAGAUA
rnacentral:rRNA from 1 species